rnacentral:rRNA from 1 species
AACACGUGGGCAACCUGCUCUCAAAUUGGGGAUAACCUCGCCAACGCGGGGCUAAUACCGAAUGUUGUCCUAAUAUCGCAUGGUAUAAGGAUGAAAGCUUUUUUUUAAUAAGAAGGCGUUUGAGAAGGGGCCCGCGUCCUAUUAGCUUGUUGGUGAGGUAAUGGCUCACCAAGGCUGCGAUAGGUAGCCGGCCUGAGAGGGUGAUCGGCCACACUGGGACUGAGAUACGGCCCAG